rnacentral:rRNA from 1 species
AGAGUUUGAUCCUGGCUCAGAAUCAACGCUGGCGGCGUGCCUCAGACAUGCAAGUCGAACGAUUAAAGCUCUCUUCGGAGAGUGUAUAGAGUGGCGCACGGGUGAGUAACACGUAAGUAAUCUACCUUCGAGUGGGGAAUAACGUUCGGAAACGGACGCUAAUACCGCAUAAUGCAGCGGCAUCGCAAGAUGACAGUUGUUAAAGGAGCAAUUCGCUUGAAGAGGAGCUUGCGGCAGAUUAGCUAGUUGGUAAGGUAAUGGCUUACCAAGGCUACGAUCUGUAACCGGUCUAAGAGGACGGUCGGUCACACUGACACUGAAUAACGGGUCAGACUCCUACGGGAGGCAGCAGUCGGGAAUUUUGGGCAAUGGGCGAAAGCCUGACCCAGCAACGCCGCGUGAAGGAUGAAGUAUUUCGGUAUGUAAACUUCGAAAGAAUAGGAAGAAUUAAUGACGGUACUAUUUAAGCCCCCC